GACGAACGCUGGCGGCGUGCUUAACACAUGCAAGUCGAACGGAAAGGCCCUGCUUUUGUGGGGUGCUCGAGUGGCGAACGGGUGAGUAACACGUGAGUAACCUGCCCUUGACUUUGGGAUAACUUCAGGAAACUGGGGCUAAUACCGGAUAGGAGCUCCUGAUGCAUGGGGGGGGUUGGAAAGUUUCGGCGGUUGGGGAUGGACUCGCGGCUUAUCAGCUGGUUGGUGGGGUAGUGGCUGACCAAGGCUUUGACGGGUAGCCGGCCUGGGAGGGUGACCGGCCACCUUGGGCCUGCGGUACGGCCCAGACUCCUACGGGAGGCAGCAGGGGGGAAUAUGGCACAGUGGGCGGACGCCUGAUGCAGCAGCGCCGCGUGCGUGAUAACGGCUUUCGGGUGGUAAACCGCUUUCGCCUGUGCCGAAGCGUGAGUGACGGUAAUGGGUAAAGAAGCACCGGCUAACUACGUG
rnacentral:rRNA from 1 species